GACGUAGGGGGCCAGCGUUGUUCGGAAUUACUGGGUGUAAAGGGUUCGUAGGCGGUGUGGCAAGUCGGGAGUGAAAUCUCUGGGCUCAACUCAGAGACUGCUUCCGAAACUGCUGUGCUGGAGUGUGGGAGAGGCGCGUGGAAUUGCAGGUGUAGCGGUGAAAUGCGUAGAUAUCUGGAGGAACACCGGUGGCGAAGGCGGCAUCCUGGACCGACAUUGACGCUGAGGAGCGAAAGCCAGGGGAGCAAACGGG
rnacentral:rRNA from 1 species